UGGGUCUUCCGGAGUGGGGGGGCCCCCGAGGCCCAGCCUCCCAUCCGUGUUGAACUAACACCUGUUGCUUCGGCGGGCCCGCCGUGGUUCACGCCCGGCCGCCGGGGGGCCUUGUGCCCCCGGGCCCCGCUCGCCGAAGACCCCUCGAACGCUGCCCUGAAGGUUGCCGUCUGAGUAUAAAAUCAAUCAUUAAAACUUUCAACAACGGAUCUCUUGGUUCCGGCAUCGAUGAAGAACGCAGCGAAAUGCGAUAAUAAUGUGAAUUGCAGAAUUCCGUGAAUCAUCGAAUCUUUGAACGCACAUUGCGCCCCCUGGCAUUCCGGGGGGCAUGCCUGUCCGAGCGUCAUUGCUAACCCUCCAGCCCGGCUGGUGUGUUGGGUCACGUCCCCCCCCGGGGGACGGGCCCGAAAGGCAGCGGCGGCGCCGCGUCCGAUCCUCGAGCGUAUGGGGCUUUGUCACGCGCUCUGGUAGGGUCGGCCGGCUGGCCAGCCAGCGACCUCACGGUCACCUAUUUUUUCUCUUAGGUUGACCUCGGAUCAGGUAGGGAUACCCGCUGAACUUAAGCAUAUCAAUAAGCGGAGGAAAGC
rnacentral:rRNA from 1 species